UAUAGAGUUUGAUCCUGGCUCAGGACGAACGCUGGCGGCGUGCUUAACACAUGCAAGUCAAGGGGGCCCAGCAAUGGGCAACCGGCGAACGGGUGCGUAACACGUGAGCAACCUACCGAACUGUGGGGGAUAGCCGGCCUAACGGCCGAGUAAUACCGCAUACGCUUUCAGUGAGGCAUUUCAUUGAAAGGAAACCUACGGGACAGAUCGAGGGGCUCGCGGCCUAUCAGCUAGUUGGCGAGGUAACGGCUCACCAAGGCAACGACGGGUAGCUGGUCUGAGAGGAUGGCCAGCCACAUUGGGACUGAGAUACGGCCCAGACUCCUACGGGAGGCAGCAGUGGGGAAUCUUGCGCAAUGGCCUAACGGCUGACGCAGCGACGCCGCGUGAGGGAAGAAGGCCUUCGGGUUGUAAACCUCUUUCAGGAGGGACAAAGCUACUCGGGUGAAUAGCCCAGAGGGUGACGGUACCUCCAGAAGAAGCCCCGGCUAACUACGUGCCAGCAGCCGCGGUAAUGCGACGUCGGCCCAAUCGCC
rnacentral:rRNA from 1 species